rnacentral:rRNA from 1 species
GACAGAGGUGCCAAGCGUUAGGCGGAAUCACUGGGCUUAAAGCGUGUGUAGGCGGGUGCCUAAGUACCUUGUGAAAUCCCACGGCUCAACCGUGGAACUGCUGGGUAUACUGGGUGCCUUGGGUCAUCUAGGGGCUGCCGGAACAAAUGGUGGAGCGGUGAAAUGCGCAGAUAUCAGGAGGAACACCGGUGGCGAAGGCGGGUCUCUGGGCCGUAACUGACGCUGAGGAGCGAAAGCAUGGGGAGCGAACAGG